rnacentral:rRNA from 1 species
CAGUAGCCGCGGUAAUGCGUAGGUCCCGAGCGUUGUCCGGAUUUAUUGGGCGUAAAGCGAGCGCAAGCGGUUAGAUAAGUCUGAAGUUAAAGGCUGUGGCUUAACCAUAGUACGUUUUGGAAACUGUUUAACUUGAGUGCAAGAGGGGAGAGUGGAAUUCCAUGUGUAGCGGUGAAAUGCGUAGAUAUAUGGAGGAACACCGGUGGCGAAAGCGGCUCUCUGGUCUGUAACUGACGCUGAGGCUCGAAAGCGUGGGGAGCAAACAGGAUUAGAUACCCCUGUAGUCCCUGUCUCUUAUACA